GACGAACCGUCCAAACGUUACUCGGAAUUACUGGGCUUAAAGGGUGCGUAGGCUGCGCGGAAAGUUGGGUGUGAAAUCCCUCGGCUCAACCGGGGAAUUGCAUUCAAAACUACCGUGCUCGAGGGAGACAGAGGUAAGCGGAACUCAAGGUGGAGCGGUGAAAUGCGUUGAUAUCUUGAGGAACACCGGUGGCGAAGGCGGCUUACUGGGUCUCUUCUGACGCUGAGGCACGAAAGCUAAGGUAGCAAACAGG
rnacentral:rRNA from 1 species